CCAGUCGGCCGGGCAGCCGCGCUUUACCAAUGCCGAAAGGUGGUAGGGUGAGGAAAGUCCGGGCUCCACGGAUACACGGUGCCGGAUAACGUCCGGCGAGGGCGACCUCAGGGAAAGUGCCGCAGAAAGCAAACCGCCCCGCUUGCGGGGUAAGGGUGAAAGGGUGGGGUAAGAGCCCACCGCAUCGCUGGUGACAGGGAUGGCAAGGUAAACCCCACCGGGAGCAAGACCGAAUAGGGAUGACGUGGGCAGCGCUCCGGCGCGGCUACAGCCGGUUUCCGGGCCAGUCAUCCGGGUGGGUUGCGAGAGGCAGCGCGCAAGCGCUGUCCCAGAUGAAUGGCUGCCACGUUCCGGGAAACCGGGGCCAUACAGAACCCGGCUUACAGGCCGACUGGCGAU
rnacentral:RNase_P_RNA from 1 species